rnacentral:rRNA from 1 species
AAGUCGAACGGCAGCACGGGUGCUUGCACCUGGUGGCGAGUGGCGAACGGGUGAGUAAUACAUCGGAACAUGUCCUGUAGUGGGGGAUAGCCCGGCGAAAGCCGGAUUAAUACCGCAUACGAUCUACGGAUGAAAGCGGGGGACCUUCGGGCCUCGCGCUAUAGGGUUGGCCGAUGGCUGAUUAGCUAGUUGGUGGGGUAAAGGCCCACCAAGGCGACGAUCAGUAGCUGGUCUGAGAGGACGACCAGCCACACUGGGACUGAGACACGGCCCAGACUCCUACGGGAGGCAGCAGUGGGGAAUUUUGGACAAUGGGCGAAAGCCUGAUCCAGCAAUGCCGCGUGUGUGAAGAAGGCCUUCGGGUUGUAAAGCACUUUUGUCCGGAAAGAAAUCCUGAGGGCUAAUAUCCUUCGGGGAUGACGGUACCGGAAGAAUAAGCACCGGCUAACUACGUGCCAGCAGCCGCGGUAAUACGUAGGGUGCGAGCGUUAAUCGGAAUUACUGGGCGUAAAGCGUGCGCAGGCGGUUUGUUAAGACCGAUGUGAAAUCCCCGGGCUCAACCUGGGAACU